GACGAACGCUGGCGGCGUGCUUAACACAUGCAAGUCGAACGGAAAGGCCCCUUUGGGGGUACUCGAGUGGCGAACGGGUGAGUAACACGUGAGUAACCUGCCCUUGACUUCGGGAUAACUUCAGGAAACUGGGGCGAAUACCGGCUAGGAAUCCUUGCUGCAUGGUGGGGGUUGGAAAGCUUCGGCGGUUUUGGAUGGACUCGCGGCUUAUCAGCUUGUUGGUGGGGGAGUGGCUUACCAAGGCUUUGACGGGUAGCCGGCCUGAGAGGGCGACCGGCCACAUUGGGACUUAGAUACGGCCCAGACUCCUACGGGAGGCAGCAGUGGGGAAUAUUUCACAAUGGGCGGAAGCCUGAUGCAGCAACGCCGCGUGCGGGAUUACGGCCUUCGGGUUGUAAACCGCUUUCAGCAGGGGCGAAGCUUGUGGUGACGGUACCUGCAGAAGAAGCACCGGCUAACUACGUG
rnacentral:rRNA from 1 species